AACGCACGAGACCUGCGGACCUGCGGAAGGAUCAUUACCGAGUUAUCCAACUCCCAACCCCUGUGAAUUAUACCUUUAAUUGUUGCUUCGGCGGGACUUCGCGCCCGCCGGGGACCCAAACCUUCUGAAUUUUUUAAUAAGUAUCUUCUGAGUGGUUAAAAGAAUGAAUCAAAACUUUCAACAAUGGAUCUCU
rnacentral:misc_RNA from 1 species